ACAGGUUCCGUAGUGACCUGCGAAGAUCAUUCGGAAUGUAUAACGUCUCUGAAAGUUCCAGAGUAGGCGCUACAACGCCGAAAUGACUUCUCACCCUUGUGUACUCACUAUGUUGCUUUGGCGGGUCGACCUGGUUCCGACCCAGGCGGCCGGCGCCCCCAGCCUUAACUGGCCAGGACGCCCGGCUAAGUGCCCGCCAGUAUACAAAACUCAAGAAUUCAUUUUGUGAAGUCCUGAUAUAUCAUUUAAUUGAUUAAAACUUUCAACAACGGAUCUCUUGGUUCUGGCAUCGAUGAAGAACGCAGCGAAAUGCGAUAAGUAAUGUGAAUUGCAGAAUUCAGUGAAUCAUCGAAUCUUUGAACGCACAUUGCGCCCUCUGGUAUUCCGGAGGGCAUGCCUGUUCGAGCGUCAUUUCAACCCUCAAGCUCUGCUUGGUAUUGGGCAACGUCCGCUGCCGGACGUGCCUUGAAGACCUCGGCGACGGCGUCCUAGCCUCGAGCGUAGUAGUAAAAUAUCUCGCUUUGGAGUGCUGGGCGACGGCCGCCGGACAAUCGACCUUCGGUCUAUUUGUCCACGGUUGAACUCGGAUCAGGUAGGGAUACCCGCUGAACUUAAGCAUAUCAAUAAGCGGAGGCAACAGAAACCACAGGGAUUGCUUAAUAACGGCGAAUGAACGCAAAUAGAUU
rnacentral:rRNA from 1 species